rnacentral:misc_RNA from 1 species
GAAAUGCGAUAAUUAAUGUGAAUUGCAGAAUUCAGUGAAUCAUCGAGUCUUUGAACGCACAUUGCGCCCCCUGGUAUUCCGGGGGGCAUGCCUGUCCGAGCGUCAUUGCUGCCCUCAAGCACGACUUGUGUGUUGGGCUUCCGUCCCUGGCAACGGGGACGGGCCCAAAAGGCAGUGGCGGCACCAUGUCUGGUCCUCGAGCGUAUGGGGCUUUGUCACCCGCUCCCGUAGGUCCAGCUGGCAGCCAGCCUCGCAACCAAUCUUUUUAACCAGGUUGACCUCGGAUCAGGUAGGGAUACCCGCUGAACUUAAGC